UCCAGGGUAGCCUAGUGGACAUGGCAUCUGCCCGGUAAGCGGAAGGUCGUGGGUUCGAUUACCGCCCCUAGAC
rnacentral:tRNA from 1 species